rnacentral:tRNA from 1 species
CGCGGCGUAGCUCAACGGCAGAGCAGAUGGUUGAUAACCGUCCGACGAAAGUUCGAUUCUUUCCGCCGCGA